CCAAACAAGUCUGGGAUUCUGUGAUUUUGUUCAAUACCUUUAGCACUGGAUGUAAUUCUGAAAUGAUGGGCAAAAUGAAACAGAGAUUCCUUCAAGUGCCAGAUAUGUUGGUAAGGGUAAGACUGGAAAAGUAAAUUGUGUUUCCUUUGCCAGUGUCAGGAAAAAUGACCAAAUUCAGGUUCCUCUUCAGCAACAGCCACUGCAUCUUCAGGACCUCCAUAUGCAUCUUGUUCCAGUGCUAGGUAGUGCAGUUAGUUAGUAACUACUGCUUGUGUCAUAGCUACAGAAGAUCCAUCAUGCCUCAAACCUUGAAUCAUGGCAGGUGUGGGCAUAUAUGUAAGAGCACCAAGUUUUUGCACUGGUGCCUCUAACUAUCUUCUCUCUGGCUUUUUAAUUUCACUGAGAACUAACUGAGUACGUUUCUGGACUAGUUUUAGUUGUCAGUAAAGUUACUCUUUCCAGUUGUCUUCAUAUUUUCUCAGUAGCUGAGAUCUGUAAGGAUCCGUACCAGCAGCUGUGGCUAUCAGUUGCUCUGUUUCUAGUGACUUUGCUGCUGCAGACUCUAACCAGGAAAUUACUAAAAACCUCGUGAUAGCCUUAAUGACAUGAUGUGAUGUGGCUUUUUCUUUAGAUGGCACCAUGUCUUGAAUACAGACAUUUGCUGCCAGUGAAUACACCCACUUGCACUGGAUGGGAGUCACCAACAGCUCCACAGGUGCGUCGUCAAACCAACAUCUGCAUAAAGACACUGGACUUGCUGUUUUGUGUGAGUGCAGUGACUAAGCAAACUGGCACUAGUCUAUAGAGACAUCUGGAGAUAUUGAUACUGGAUCUCCUGAGGGAACUGUACCAUAGUUGAAAAUGAAUUGUCACCAAGAUCCAUGGAUUUGUGAUGGGCAGGCACUACGGCCUAACUAAAACCUGAAGUGGGCCCACAGCACAGACUUGAAGGAUCUCUUCUAUCUGCAGGGCUGAAUAAGCACAGCACCUUGUAAGGUCAACUCCUCUUCUUAUGAGUGUUGUUCACAGUUUGCAGAUACUGUGUGAAAUGAAUUCUUUCUCUAUUUAAAAGGGCAAAGUAAUUUGUCAGGCGUGUGGCUCAUGAAAUCUUCACCAGAAACACUGUGUGACUUGUACAAGCAAAGCUGCCUGAAAUACAGACACUGAGGCUUCUUCCAUCAAUCACACUAGGGUUAAUCAAAUCAGAGCACAACAUUCUUUUUCUCUGGAAAACUGAAGUCAUAGCCCUGUGUACCUGCUAUAAAAGCAGAGUUUCUCUCCCUCAUGGGAUAUUCAAGGCCAAUACUCCCACAGAUCCUCCAUCACAAAUGUCCAGCUAAACAGAAGCAUACCUUUGGGUUCCUCCUGUGGAAGUCAGGACUGUGUGUGCCAUUGUGAAAGCUCAGAAGGCUCUUAGAAAAUGGGUAGUCUUGGCUCCAAGAGAGUUUUGUUUUGUUCAGAUUAUUUUCAGUUGCAGUAGAAAACUUGAGUGUCUACAUCAGGAAGACAAUUUUUGUUGUUUUCCAUUAUGUUGUGAAAACAAAAUAUUUCUUGAUAUUA